AUUUGGCCAGGACCGGGAGAAGAGGGCGUUCUUGCCCGAACGAGGCAGAACGCAGGCGCGGAACCUUCUUUCCGUGGCCUUUGUGCGACAUGAAGGGUUUUGCGCGUGUGCGCAACCAUAGAGUUUGGAGAAGCGUUCUAGAGAGGCUAUCAAUUGCACCUUCCCUGGUGGUUUGGGCUUAAGGUUAACCAAAUUAGUGCUACUGGAUCUGCAGGUAGAUCGCGAACUGUCGAUCUGUUUUAGCGCUCCUAGCCCAGAGACUUUAAAAUUAAACAAACGCCCAAGAUACCUUUCUUUCACUAGAGUAUCAGUCAAUUAACAAAAAUGGUCCGAAAAACUCCAUGACAUUGGACACGUUUUUAGGGCUACAGAUAGGAUUAUCACUUUCUUCCCGCUCUUUUGCUCUGGGGUGUCCAUUUUCUCCUGAAAAUUCAUAUUCUGCCAGGUCUUUAAAAAAAAGCCAGCAUCAUUCCAACUCUCAUCUGGAGCUCCGGCUGCUACCAGUUCUGCUUCCUCGAAGGAGGGGGCAGACCGCGAUGCAAGUGUCUUGCAAUGACAGCGCUACUGCAGAAAAUACUUUAUGAAAGUAUUAAAAGGUACUUUAGUACUGAAAAGUACUAAAAAGUACUUUAAGGUUUAAACCUUACUCUUAGUUACUUUUCAGUCUUGAGGAGUCUCACAAAAAUCUGUUCAGUGUUGUGAAUAAAUUGUGGUGGUGGUAGUGUUAUAGCCGGACCAUUCUCACACAAAAGGAGACUGGGACGAGCUCUUUAUGAAUUUGAAGUUUACACAGACCCGGCCAAGGGCACGCACUCACCACAAGUCUAGAGAGACGGCUCCGGUUAAAGACAGGUUUAUAAAGGGAAAAAACACAGGUUCCAUACUACCAGUAACGCUUGCGUUGGCAAGCACGACAGGAUACAAACUUUUAACAAAAAUGAAACACAGGUAUAGUAAGUACCAUGGCGUCUCUCCUUGAUUAGGGAGCAUAAAGCCUUCAGGUUACAGAAGCAGAACAAUGCAGUUUGUAAGGCUUCCACAAGAAGGCAUGGCCUGGCUUAGAUCUGGAUUAAAGAUCUGAACUAAAGGUGCGUCUUGCUACCUCAAAGAUCUGAAUUAGAGGUGGAUCUUCCCCCUUCAAAUUAAG
rnacentral:sRNA from 1 species